AGAAUGUUGGUGUAAGAUAUGGAAAAUGACAAACCCCAAAAUAGUGUCGCCUGGGAAGAGGGAAUGAGCAAGAAGACAACACAUUGAUAACUUCGAUCCUCUCCCAAUACAUUCUUUCCCAGUGACAAGACAAGCCCUGGGGACGAGAUAUCAGUGGGAUACCACAAGUAAACUUUGAGCAUGUCUAAACCAUUUUGAAGCAGAGGUGUGCCCCUAAGAGAACUCUCAGGGUAAUCUCAUCAAUCUGAGGCUGCUUCAUUGCCUUGGAAAAUGUCCUGCUGAAAGAGAAUGCUGUGAUACCAUGGAAUUUAUUGGCUUGGACAGCCCCAUGUUCAAAUGCAACUCCCCAGAGAUAGAGAGAGACACAGUGCACCAACUACCCCUGUGGCACCAGCUACCUGAAGGAGGAAGAAUGACAGCCCAAAUGCCUGAUGACUUGAUUUUAAUCAAGACCCGGAGAGAAAAUAAUCUUCGAUCAAGCUGAAAGUGGCCGACCAAGUGCUCCUGACCACAGGAUGGCUAUGCAAACUGUUAAGAGAGGGAAAACUCACUGCCAGGGGGCAUUUCCACUCUAAACGGGUAUGUCUAGGAAAGAUGGCAAGACCAACGGGUACAAUGACAAUGAGACCAAAAGGUAUACAAAGAAAAAAUGGAGGGUGAUUGGAAAUAGGAAGUCUGGCGGUCCAUUCUCUUAAGGCGUUUGGCCUUGACUGGAUCCAUUUAGCCCUUUUAAUUGUUGCCCUUCCACUUUACCCGCCCCAGGGAUCUGCUGAAUCUGGACCAUCACACGGGGCAACAGAGUGGCUCUGGGGUAUCUCAGUGGUCUAGCGUUGCUGGCAUGGUGGAGGCCCUGAGCUCUAACCCAGUACAGCCCCAAACACAAACCAAAUAAAGCCCCAAAAGACAGGAAGGGGAGAACAUGGUCCAGGGCCUCAGUUUCCUUCUCUACAAAGUCUGGAGCUUGGAGUAGGUCAUCACAAGGUCCCACAGGCUCCCCAAUCUGAGCUUCCCUUGGUGUGACACUGUGCUCUGGCCCUUGGUGGAAGCUUUCUGCCCCCUGGAGGGCCAACAGAGGGCAGAGAAGACAGGAAGACAGAUGUGGGCCACAGCAGAAUGGUGCCCUAAGGGACCACUCAUCCUUGGAGGAGGAGAAAGACCACCUUAUUGGAGUCUCGGGGACCCAUGUGGAACUGGAACCCAAGUCCUUGUCCUGGCAGUGAUGAAAAGGCUUUGUGAGGACAAUGACUCCCAGGUCCAAUGAGAACUCUUGCAGAUGGCCUGUCAUAGGACCUCGUCAUUUCUGUUACAUUCCGUCUCUGAGGAGUAGAUCACAUUCCAGUGAAGAUUCCCAUCAUGAAAAGAACAACACGACAGAAGAAAUGUGUGAUACAUAAUAUCUAACUGUGAUGAGAUGUUUUACAUGGAUGUUGGACAUGAUGGAUGGAGAAAGAAGGGAGAUGCAAACAGAGAUGUGGGGUAGACCCAUCAUUUUUCAUGUCUUCGGGUGACACAGGCACAUCUUCCAGCUAGUGGAUGACCAUGUGUUUGUUUCUUGUAGAAGAUAUUCAUCAGCUUCCAAAUCAUAAUAAAGAAUAAAAGCAAAUAAGUAUUUUUAGACAAAUGAUCUACAUUAUUAAACGUGUUCUCUAGAUGACAAAACUUGCAAACCUUCUGCAAUAGGCAGUGUCAUGGAGGCAGGAAGUCAGGCACUGCCCCCCUGCUGGCCACAUGAGAAAAUGACAUGAAGAGUGUAGAGCUCCUUGAUUGUCAGCAAAAGUACACAAGCACAUAGAGGCCUUUAUUUCUGUGGUUUAAAAAUACAUAAGUGACUACCUUAUAUUUGAUAAAGGGGCUAAAAGCAUGCAAUGGAGGAAGGAUAGCAUCUUCAACAAAUGGUGCUGGGAAAACUGGAAAUCCAUAUGCAACAAAAUGAAACUGAAUCCCUUUCUCUCGCCAUGCACAAAAGUGAAUUCAAAAUGGAUCAAGGAGCUUGAUAUCAAAUCAGAGACACGCCGUCUGAUAGAAGAAAAAGUUGGCUACGAUCUACAUACUGUGGGGUCGGGCUCCAAAUUCCUCAAUAGGACACCCAUAGCACAAAAGUUAAUAACUAGAAUCAACAAAUGGGACUUACUCAAACUAAAAAGUUUUUUCUCAGCAAAAGACACAAUAAGAGGGGUAAAUAGAGAGCCUACAUCCUGGGAACAAAUCUUUACUCCUCACACUUCAGAUAGAGCCCUAAUAUCCAGAGUAUACAAAGAACUCAAAAAAUUAGACAAUAAGAUAACAAACAACCCAAUCAACAAAUCGGCCAAGGACCUGAACAGACACUUCUCAGAGGAGGACAUACAAUCAAUCAACAAGUACAUGAAAAAAUGCUCACCAUCUCUAGCACUCAGAGAAAUGCAAAUCAAAACCACCCUAAGAUACCAUCUCACUCCAGUUAGAUUGGCAGCCAUUAGGAAGUCAAACAACAACAAGUGCUGGCGAGGAUGUGGGGAAAAGGGUACACUUGUACAUUGCUGGUGGGACUGCAAAUUGGUGCAGCCAAUUUGGAAAGCAGUAUGGAGAUUUCUUGGAA